CAGUAGCCGCGGGAAUACGAAGGGGGCUAGCGUUGUUCGGAUUUACUGGGCGUAAAGCGCACGUAGGCGGACUUUUAAGUCAGGGGUGAAAUCCCGGGGCUCAACCCCGGAACUGCCUUUGAUACUGGAAGUCUUGAGUAUGGUAGAGGUGAGUGGAAUUCCGAGUGUAGAGGUGAAAUUCGUAGAUAUUCGGAGGAACACCAGUGGCGAAGGCGGCUCACUGGACCAUUACUGACGCUGAGGUGCGAAAGCGUGGGGAGCAAACAGGAUUAGAUACCCGUGUAGUCCCUGUCUCUUAUAC
rnacentral:rRNA from 1 species